AGCAGAGAUAUGGAGGAAGAAGAGUGGAGGAGGCAAAUGGAGCUGAAAGAUGUGGAAAAGGUGUGCUUGCUUCUUGGCCUUACACUAGGGACUUGGAGGACAUGGAUGGAGACGCUUGAACCAGUCCUGGAGCCAUGACCUCCUGAAGACAGAACAUUUUGUGAACUUCAUCUCUACAUUUCCAGGACCCAACAUUGCUCCUGUUGUAUUAUAGUUUGUAAAUAAUUUUUUAUUUACAUUAUUUUAUAUUGAGAUGAGAUUGGUUUACCACAAUGUAUAUGAUUUAGGAAUAUAGGUUCACUUCUCUUCACAUAUAUGUCACCACACCAUUCCCACCACUAAAACAUCCAUAAUCUUCAUCAUAGUCCAUUGGACAGCCUCCGCCUAGGACUCAUCAACCUACAACCUCCCACUCUGAUCUAUUUAUGUAUGUAUACAAGAAUUGGGGUACAGGCCUGAGGUGCAGGAGGGUGAGAGGAUUCACCAGAGACAGAGCGGAGAACAGAACAGGCAGACUGACUGAAAUACACUGCUGAGGGGAACAGUGGGUCAGACAGGAGAGGUCUGCUUCACCAUGUGGGUUUCUACCUGGCCGGCCAUGGAUGGAACCACCUUGCAGAGACUGCGGACAGCUUCACAGUGCUGCGCUCAAGCCUCACCCCCUCCCCACCACCACCAGGGAAGCCCUGCUCUAUUUUCUGUCUGAGAUUCCUGUUAUU